rnacentral:rRNA from 1 species
GUGUCAGCAGCCGCGGUAAAACGUAGGUGGCAAGCGUUAUCCGGAUUUACUGGGCGUAAAGGGUGUGCAGGCGGGGAAACAAGUGGUGUAUGAAAUCACCAGGCUUAACCUGGUGGGGUUAUGCCAGACUGUUUUUCUGGAGGGCGAGAGAGGGGCGUGGAAUUCCGGGUGUAGUGGUGAAAUGCGUAGAGAUCCGGAGGAACCCCAGAGGCGAAGGCGGCGCCCUGGCUCGUACCUGACGCUCAUACACGACAGCAUGGGGAGCGAACGGGAUUAGAAACCCCAGUAGUCC